rnacentral:rRNA from 1 species
UACGUAGGGUGCAAGCGUUGUCCGGAAUUAUUGGGCGUAAAGAGCUCGUAGGCGGUUCGUCGCGUCGGCUGUGAAAUCCCGAGGCUCAACCUCGGGUCUGCAGUCGAUACGGGCGGACUGGAGUUCGGCAGGGGAGACUGGAAUUCCUGGUGUAGCGGUGAAAUGCGCAGAUAUCAGGAGGAACACCGGUGGCGAAGGCGGGGUCUCUGGGCCGAUACUGACGCUGGAGGAGCGAAAGCGUGGGGAGC